rnacentral:rRNA from 1 species
UUGCUCUAUCGAUGAGAGUGGCGCACGGGUGAGUAACGCGUGGGUAACCUGCCUCGAAGUUUGGGAUAACAUUGGGAAACCAAUGCUAAUACCGACUAAUUUUUAUUACUGUAUGGUGAUUUAAUAAAAGAUGCCCUCUUCUAUGGUAUCGCUUCGAGAGGGGCCUGCGUCCUAUUAGCUAGUUGGUGGGGUAACAGCCUACCAAGGCGAAGAUGGGUAGCCGGCUUGAGAGAGUGAUCGGCCACACUGGAACUGAGACACGGUCCAGACUCCUACGGGAGGCAGCAGUAGGGAAUAUUCCGCAAUGGGCGAAAGCCUGACGGAGCAAUACCUCGUGAGUGAUGAAGGCUUUAGGGUCGUAAAGCUCAGUCAGCAGGGAAGAAGGGUUAUGGUUCGAAUAGGGCUAUAGCUUUGACGGUACCUGCAGAGGAAGCCACGGCUAAUUACGUGCCAGCAGCCGCGGUAAUACGUAAGUGGCAAGCGUUGUCCGGAUUUACUGGGCGUAAAGAACGCGUAGGCGGUUUUCUAAGUUGGGGGUGAAAUCCUGAGGCCCAACCUCAGGCCUGCCUCCAAAACUGGAGAACUAGAGUUUCGGAGAGGAAGAUGGUAUUCCAUGUGUAGCGGUGAAAUGCGUAGAUAUAUGGGAGAACACCAAUGGCGAAAGCAGUCUUCUGGACGAAUACUGACGCUGAGGCGUGAAAGCGUGGGUAGCGAACAGGAUUAGAUACCCUGGUAGUCCACGCCGUAAACGAUGGGUACUAGUUGCUGGGGAUAAUAGUCUUCGGUGACGAAGUUAACGCAUUAAGUACCCCGCCUGGGGAGUACGGUCGCAAGAUUAAAACUCAAAGGAAUUGACGGGGGCCCGCACAA